GGGCGAACCUGUAGACGGCCGCCCGAAAAGCCUGACCUGGGGAGUGGACAAGGCUCAGUCCCAGACCUGGUGCAGUCGCCGUGGGGGCGUCAGACGGGUUGCCAGAUGCUGUUCAACCACAGCAUCGGGGUUGAACACUUGCCAUGGGUUUGUCAAAAUUCAGUGAGAUAAUUAAUGGGAAUAGCAGCAUUUUGGGGUGCUUCUUACGCGCCUGGAGAUGCUCAUUACUCACCACAGAAGCCCAUUCAUUCGGUCACUUCGGACCUCGUGUUGUCAGAACUGCAAGGCGCAGCAGAUGAACGCCCACCCCUUGAUUACUAAAACUGUCGAGGCCACUGACCUUCUGAACGCUUAAGAAGGGAGGUUGGUUGGUGGGAACAUGAAAGAGGAGACAGACCUAAAAUAAUUAACUGCAAAACACAUUACUUAAUUACAGCUUGAGUGCUUAUAGCAAGAAGAUUCCUGCGGCAAGAUGAAGAUGGGGGAGAGGAGGAAAGGAAAAUACUACCUGAGGAAGUAAUGUUUCAAGUAAAACCCCAGAGAUGAAGCUGACACAUCAGUUAAUGAUCUAGGCUUAGGGGAUAGCAUAUAUCAAGGAGAAUUUGAGCUGGAAAGAGUAUUUCGUAAACACCAAUAGUUCAACUUUACUUUUUAUCCGCUUCCUCUCUCUUUCUCCCCUCCCCUUAGUAGGAGGAACUCCUUUCCAUGAAAAUAG
rnacentral:lncRNA from 1 species